UACGGAGGGUGCGAGCGUUGUCCGGAAUCACUGGGCGUAAAGGGCGCGUAGGCGGGGAGGUAAGUCGGGUGUGAAAUCCCUCGGCCCAACCGAGGAACUGCGCCCGAGACUGCUUCUCUUGAGUCCCGGAGAGGAAGGUGGAAUUCCCGGUGUAGCGGUGAAAUGUGUAGAGAUCGGGAGGAACACCGGUGGCGAAGGCGGCCUUCUGGACGGUGACUGACGCUGAGGCGCGAAAGCGUGGGGAGCAAACGGG
rnacentral:rRNA from 1 species